GUGAGGAAUUUUCCGCAAUGGGCGAAAGCCUGACGGAGCAAUGCCGCGUGAAGGAUGAAGGCCUAUGGGUUGUAAACUUCUUUUCUCAGAAAAGAAUUAUGACGGUAUCUGAGGAAUAAGCAUCGGCUAACUCUGUGCCAGCAGCCGCGGUAAGACAGAGGAUGCAAGCGUUAUCCGGAAUGAUUGGGCGUAAAGCGUCUGUAGGUUGUUUAAAAAGUAUUCUGUCAAAGAUUAGGGCUUAACCCUAGAUAGGAAGAAUAAACUUUUAAGCUAGAGUUUGGUAGAGGCAGAGGGAAUUCCCGGUGGAGCGGUGAAAUGCGUAGAUAUCGGGAGGAACACCAAAGGCGAAGGCACUCUGCUGGGCCAAUACUAACACUGAGAGACGAAAGCGAGGGGAGCAAAUGGGAUUAGAAACCCGUAGUCC
rnacentral:rRNA from 1 species